CUGAGAGGAUGAUCAGCAACACUGGGACUGAGACACUGCCCAGACUCCUACGGGAGGCUGCAGUCGAGAAUCAUUGUCAAUGCACGAAAGUGUGAACAUGCGACGCCGCGUGGAGGAAGACGGCCUUUGGGUUGUAAACUCCUGUCAGCAGGGAGUAAGGAUGGCACCUUUAAUACAUGUGCCGUUUGAUAGUACCUGCAGAGGAAGUCACGGCUAACUCUGUGCCAGCAGCCGCGGUAAUACAGAGGUGGCGAACGUUGUUCGGAUUUACUGGGCGUAAAGGGUCCGCAGGCGGUCCGGUGUGUCAGAUGUGAAAGCCCACAGCUUAACUGUGGAAUUGCAUUUGAGACUGCCGGACUAGAGUACUGGAGGGGAGAAGGGAACACUUGGUGUAGCGGUGAAAUGCGUAGAUAUCAAGUGGAACACCGGUGGCGAAGGCGCUUCUCUGGACAGAUACUGACGCUCAUGGACGAAAGUUAGGGUAGCGAAAGGGAUUAGAUACCCCUGUAGUCCUAACCGUAAACGGUGUGCGCUAGGCGUGGGUGGCUUUACCCCCAUCCGUGCCUGAGCUAACGCAUUGAGCGCGCCGCCUGGGGAGUACGGUCGCAAGAUUAAAACUCAAAGGAAUUGACGGGGACCCGCACAAGCGGUGGAGCAUGUGGCUUAAUUCGAUGCAACGCGAAGAACCUUACCUGGGCUUGACAUAUAGCUGCAUACGAUCCGAAGGGAACGUAGCCUUCGAGGGUGCUAUACAGGUGCUGCAUGGCUGUCGUCAGCUCGUGCCGUGAGGUGUUGGGUUAAGUCCCGCAACGAGCGCAACCCCUGUGUUUAGUUGCCAGCACGUAAUGGUGGGAACUCUAAACAGACUGCCUGUGAAAACAGGAGGAAGGUGGGGAUGACGUCAAGUCAGUAUGGUCCUUAUGUCCAGGGCUGUACACGUGCUACAAUGGGAAGUACAGUGGGAAGCUAAGCCGCGAGGUGGAGCAAAUCCUCAAAACAUCCCCCAGUUCGGAUUGGAGUCUGAAACUUGACUCCAUGAAGUUGGAAUCGCUAGUAAAGGCGUAUCAGCUACGACGCCUUGAAUACGUUCCCGGGUCUUGUACACACCGCCCGUCACAUCAUGGAAGUGAGUUGCACCCGAAGUUGCUGAUCCAACCCGUCAAGGGAGGAAGGCACCUAAGGUGUGAUUCAUAACUGGGAUGAAGUCGGAACAAGGUA
rnacentral:rRNA from 1 species